rnacentral:lncRNA from 14 species
GAGAAUUUGGCAACUUUCCUAACAACUGAAGUCUAACAGCAAGUGAAAAGGACAAUUGAAUACAUAUAUUUAAAAACUCCUGAUUUUCAGUCAAACCUCAUGAUUUUAAAGAUGGAAAUUUGUGUCCAUGAUGCAACAUACCUGCAUCACAUCUACAAGUGGAUGUGGAAAACAGCUCCUAAAGGGCUUUUACCCAUAAGUGUCACCAUGUUAAGAAGUCUUUUUUCUACAUACAUUUUAGGUUAUUGCUGACUGCUGUUUUUCCUCUUUCUUCCUCUCCUCUAACAAGGUAGCCUUUGCAUUUUGGAAAAAGGAAAGAUGCAUUUGUAAUCCUCAUCUCAGUGGUCCAGGGACACCUGCAGACAUAAGGUUGGACUGACUAUGAAUGCUCCAGGCACAAGUAUGGGGAAUCGAGGGAAAGCCACACACACCCCUGGCCAACACAUCUCUUUGCUAAGCAGGUGGCAACACUGCAUUACUGCCAAUUGGAAACCCCAACCACAGCUUCUGCAUAAAGUACUGCUGACAGAGAAGGAUCAAGGUGGCCGAGAAGUUGGCUGUGGCUAAUCUCCUCCUCACCCAAAAAGUGAGCUCCAACAGCAGCCAGAGCAUUGAGGCUUUCAUGCAUCCCAGCGUGCUACAGGGAAUACACACACCGUGACACUGGAGCAAGGAAGAGCACUCUCACUGUCAGCUCAGGAGCUGUUUUGCUCAUGCAUGCUCAAGUUACAGGGUAUGAGUUAUGGAUUGCCAGUAGUGAAUUAGAGAACUCGUGACUUUAAACCUCAUUAAGUAAGUAGUGAAUUAGUGUAUUGACGUGUUUUACCAGUCUGUACCAAGGGGAUUGUGUCCUUGGUUUCCUCUUGAUUUUGUUUUUUUUCCUUAUGAUCUCAUAGAACAUAGGUAUAGAAUAUGUUGUCCUGUAAAUGUGAGAUAUCCAAACAAACCAUGACACUUCUCAGCCCAGAAGAGGCUUCCUCAUGGUCUGCAGGACAGAGUUGGGGCUGUUUGCUAUUCUGAGAAGCUCCACAAGAAUACAUUCUUCAUCUGCUAGUUAAAAGACCUGCAUUAAUAUUUCUUUUUUUCAUAGUGCUUUUGGCACAUGAAGCAAGGAGCAUGGGAAUCACAUCUUUACUUUUUAAUUGCCAGCCCUAGCAGAACAAAUUCUGCACUCAGUUGUUUGUGCACAAAGUGCAGAUUUGCUGGACAUCACUGUUUGGUGCAAAGUGAUGUGCUGGUUUGGUGCAUUAAGAGCAGAGUCAGCAUCUGACUGAGUACCAAACAGCUGCAGAUACCACGUAAGACUGACAACUGCAUUUAAUCCUCCAAUAGUGCCUUUGGAGCACCCCAGCUUCAGUUGGCACAUCUGCCCAGGCAAGGAAUCAGACCAUUCCUGAGAAGAGAUGAAAACUGCUCUGUGUGCACUUCAGGUUCUGUAUUCUCACCCAGGACUUGUUGCAGUCUGAACUCAUCUUCCCAUCUGGAUCCUCCAUCAGUGACACUUUACUCUGACAGGUAUCUGUUGUGCAUUACAGCAGUUUAGAGCUAAAUAAUUUAUUUUGGAAGCAGGUUUUACACAUAACUUAGAAAGUGGAAGAGAACAGGAAUACUGCAGCAGUGAACUGUGUGGUAGACAAAUACAUUCUGCCCUACAGUUUCUAAAUAUUGCACUUUGCCAUCCAUUGUUUCAAAAUUGAUUUCUCUCCCAUUAUUACCCUUGAAAGAAAAACCUGAUCCAAAAAGCUUUUUGUUUUUCCAGGGUGGUUCAUUGAUUUCCAUUUGUAAUAAUAAAGGUGAAAAUAAAGGAGAAUAAACA